rnacentral:tRNA from 1 species
GCUCUAAUAGCUUAAACUUCAAAGCAUUGUUCUUGUAAACCAAAGCUGGGCUAAACCCUUAGAGCA